rnacentral:rRNA from 1 species
UAGGGAAUCUUCCGCAAUGGACGCAAGUCUGACGGAGCAACGCCGCGUGAGUGAAGAAGGAUUUCGGUUCGUAAAACUCUGUUGUUAGAGAAGAACAGCGCAUAGAGUAACUGUUAUGCGUGUGACGGUAUCUAACCACAAAGCCACGGCUAACUACGUGCCAGCAGCCGCGGUAAUACGUAGGUGGCAAGCGUUGUCCGGAUUUAUUGGGCGUAAAGCGAGCGCAGGCGGUCAAUUAAGUCUGAUGUGAAAGCCCCCGGCUCAACCGGGGAGGGUCAUUAGAAACUGGUUGACUUGAGUGCGGAAGAGGAGAGUGGAAUUCCAUGUGUAGCGGUGAAAUGCGUAGAUAUAUGGAGAAACACCAGUGACGAAGGCGACUCUCUGGUCUGUAACUGACGCUGAGGCUCGAAAGCGUGGGUAGCAAACAGG